rnacentral:rRNA from 1 species
GAUGAACGCUAGCUACAGGCUUAACACAUGCAAGUCGAGGGGCAGCAUGAACUUAGCUUGCUAAGUUUGAUGGCGACCGGCGCACGGGUGAGUAACACGUAUCCAACCUUCCGUUUACUCAGGGAUAGCCUUUCGAAAGAAAGAUUAAUACCUGAUAGUAUGGUGAGAUUGCAUGAUAACACCAUUAAAGAUUUAUUGGUAAACGAUGGGGAUGCGUUCCAUUAGGUAGUAGGCGGGGUAACGGCCCACCUAGCCUGCGAUGGAUAGGGGUUCUGAGAGGAAGGUCCCCCACAUUGGAACUGAGACACGGUCCAAACUCCUACGGGAGGCAGCAGUGAGGAAUAUUGGUCAAUGGGCGAGAGCCUGGAACCAGCCAAGUAGCGUGCAGGAUGACGGCCCUAUGGGUUGUAAACUGCUUUUGACUAGGGUAAACUCACCUACGUGUAGUGACUGAAAGUNUAGUACGAAUAAGGAUCGGCUAACUCCGUGCCAGCAGCCG